rnacentral:misc_RNA from 1 species
CUCUCCUCGAGAAAGUGAUGCACAUUCUCUCUCAUGAAAGGCACAAAUACCGCGAAAUCAUAGCAAUUUCGCGACCCGCCCCGACUCCGAUAUGGACAUAAACGGUUCCUCCCUAUUCCGUCACCGGAAAACGGCGUCCACUGACCGAUUCCUCAGCGCCUACCCCCGUGCACCGCGACAGAACACCGGGACCACCACCUACGAAAGCGAAGAAAACGAGCUCAAUGAGGACGAUAUAUUCUCCACUGGCGACUUUUCCGAAGCUUCCAACCACCACCAUCACCCCAACUCUCACAAUAGUCCUCCCUCCUCCAACUCCUCUCUGCGCCACCACCAGCUCCAUUCCCAUAGCCAUAAAGCCUUUCCCCAGCCAGAAUCUUUCGGCAUCCUGGCGGCACUUACGGAGCAUAAAACCAACCCCCACCACCAUUUGUACCAGAAAACAGCGCUUUCUUCGCCCUCGUCAUCCACCUCGUCCUCCUCAACGACCUCCUCUUCUCGUUUCAUUCCUUCUAUCCCUAAGCC